rnacentral:rRNA from 1 species
CCAAGCAAAACGCACUUAAAGUUUGACCCCCCGAAACUAGGCGAGCUACUUUAGAACAGCCUUUUAGGGCCAACCCGUCUCUGUAGCAAAAGAGUGGGAAGAUUUUAAAGUAGAGGUGACACACCUAUCGAGCUUAGAGAUAGCUGGUUAUUCAGGAAAAGGAUUUUAGUCCCCCUUUAAGUUUCUUUAUUCACACUAAAAACCUAAUGAACUUAAAAGCCAUUCAAAUAGGGUACAGCCUAUUUGAACAAGGAAACAGCCUGCAAUACAGGGUAAUGAUCUAUUCCACGUGACUAAGUAGGCCUAAGAGCAGCCAACUUCCAAACAGCGUCCAAGCUUUAUCACUAACUAUUAUUAAUCCCAUUAUUUAUACGCAACCCACAACCGCUACUGAAUGAUCCCAUACCCAUAUGGGAGACAUUAUGCUAGAACUAGUAACAAGAAGAAGACCUUCUCCAAAAUGUAAGUGCAAGCCAAAAAUGAACAACUCAUCGGCACCUAUCGCCUCAAAUCUGCAGUACCACCACAAACCCCCAAGAAAACCAUACUACACCUGGCGUUAACCUUACACCAGAACAUUACCGGAAAGAUUAAAAAGGGGG